GAGUUUGAUCCUGGCUCAGGACGAACGCUGGCGGCGUGCUUAACACAUGCAAGUCGAACGGAAAGGUCUCUUCGGAGACACUCGAGUGGCGAACGGGUGAGUAACACGUGGGCAAUCUGCCCUGCACACCGGGAUAAGCCUGGGAAACUGGGUCUAAUACCGGAUAGGACCACUUGGCGCAUGCCUUGUGGUGGAAAGCUUUUGCGGUGUGGGAUGGGCCCGCGGCCUAUCAGCUUGUUGGUGGGGUGACGGCCUACCAAGGCGACGACGGGUAGCCGGCCUGAGAGGGUGUCCGGCCACACUGGGACUGAGAUACGGCCCAGACUCCUACGGGAGGCAGCAGUGGGGAAUAUUGCACAAUGGGCGCAAGCCUGAUGCAGCGACGCCGCGUGGGGGAUGACGGCCUUCGGGUUGUAAACCUCUUUCACCAUCGACGAAGGUCCGGGUUCUCUCGGAUUGACGGUAGGUGGAGAAGAAGCACCGGCCAACUACGUGCCAGCAGCCGCGGUAAUACGUAGGGUGCGAGCGUUGUCCGGAAUUACUGGGCGUAAAGAGCUCGUAGGUGGUUUGUCGCGUUGUUCGUGAAAUCUCACGGCUUAACUGUGAGCGUGCGGGCGAUACGGGCAGACUAGAGUACUGCAGGGGAGACUGGAAUUCCUGGUGUAGCGGUGGAAUGCGCAGAUAUCAGGAGGAACACCGGUGGCGAAGGCGGGUCUCUGGGCAGUAACUGACGCUGAGGAGCGAAAGCGUGGGGAGCGAACAGGAUUAGAUACCCUGGUAGUCCACGCCGUAAACGGUGGGUACUAGGUGUGGGUUUCCUUCCUUGGGAUCCGUGCCGUAGCUAACGCAUUAAGUACCCCGCCUGGGGAGUACGGCCGCAAGGCUAAAACUCAAAGGAAUUGACGGGGGCCCGCACAAGCGGCGGAGCAUGUGGAUUAAUUCGAUGCAACGCGAAGAACCUUACCUGGGUUUGACAUGCACAGGACGCGUCUAGAGAUAGGCGUUCCCUUGUGGCCUGUGUGCAGGUGGUGCAUGGCUGUCGUCAGCUCGUGUCGUGAGAUGUUGGGUUAAGUCCCGCAACGAGCGCAACCCUUGUCUCAUGUUGCCAGCGGGUAAUGCCGGGGACUCGUGAGAGACUGCCGGGGUCAACUCGGAGGAAGGUGGGGAUGACGUCAAGUCAUCAUGCCCCUUAUGUCCAGGGCUUCACACAUGCUACAAUGGCCGGUACAAAGGGCUGCGAUGCCGCGAGGUUAAGCGAAUCCUUUUAAAGCCGGUCUCAGUUCGGAUCGGGUCUGCAACUCGACCCCGUGAAGUCGGAGUCGCUAGUAAUCGCAGAUCAGCAACGCUGCGGUGAAUACGUUCCCGGGCCUUGUACACACCGCCCGUCACGUCAUGAAAGUCGGUAACACCCGAAGCCAGUGGCCUAACCCUCGGGAGGGAGCUGUCGAAGGUGGGAUCGGCGAUUGGGACGAAGUCGUAACAAGGUAGCCGUACCGGAAGGUGCGGCUGGAUCACC
rnacentral:rRNA from 1 species